UAAAGAAAGCGUAAUAGCUCACUGGUCGAGUCGGCCUGCGCGGAAGAUGUAACGGGGCUAAACCAUGCACCGAAGCUGCGGCAGCGACACUGUGUGUUGUUGGGUAGGGGAGCGUUCUGUAAGCCUGUGAAGGUGGCCUGUGAGGGUUGCUGGAGGUAUCAGAAGUGCGAAUGCUGACAUAAGUAACGAUAAAGCGGGUGAAAAGCCCGCUCGCCGGAAGACAAA
rnacentral:rRNA from 1 species